rnacentral:rRNA from 1 species
GUAGGUGGCAAGCGUUGUCCGGAUUUAUUGGGUUUAAAGGGUGCGUAGGCGGCUUAUUAAGUCAGUGGUGAAAUAUCGCAGCUUAACUGUGAGGGUGCCAUUGAUACUGAUGAGCUUGAGUACAGAUGAGGUAGGCGGAAUUGACGGUGUAGCGGUGAAAUGCAUAGAUAUCGUCAAGAACACCUAUAGCGAAGGCAGCUUACUAAGCUGUAACUGACGCUGAGGCACGAAAGUGUGGGGAUCAAACAGGAUUAGAUACCCUGGUAGUCCACACUGUAAACGUUGAUAACUCGCUGUUUGCGAUACACAGCAAGCGGCCAAGCGCAAGCGAUAAGUUAUCCACCUGGGGAGUACGCCGGCAACGGUGAA